rnacentral:rRNA from 1 species
CCUGCGAAGGCAAGCGGAUCUCUUAAAGCUGUUCUCAGUUCGGACUGCAGUCUGCAACUCGACUGCACGAAGCUGGAAUCGCUAGUAAUCGCGGAUCAGCACGCCGCGGUGAAUACGUUCCCGGGCCUUGUACACACCGCCCGUCACACCAUGGAAGUCUGCAAUGCCCGAAGCCGGUGGCCUAACCACUUAUGUGGAAGGAGCCGUCUAAGGCAGGGCAGAUGACUGGGGUGAAGUCGUAACAAGGUACC